AAUUUAAGAGCGUAUGGUGGAUGCCUUGACUCAAAAUGGCGAUGAAAGACGUAGCAUGGCUGCGAUAAGUUACGGGGAGGUGCCUAGCAACCGUUAAUCCGUAAAUUUCUGAAUGGGGAAACCUAAUGACUAUAUGUCAUUGCUUAGGAGUUUAUCCUAAGUGCAUACCCGGGGAAGUAAAACAUUUCAGUACCCGGAGGAAAAUAAAACAAUGUUCGUAAGAACGACAUUUCCUUAGUAGCGGCGAGCGAAACGGAAAUAGCCCAAACCACCCUCCUAUCUUUGGUCCCAAAGUUUCGACUGCGGGGUUAAAGAUAGUAGGGUGGGGUUGUAAGGCAGGAACGUCAUAAUUUAUUAUGAGAGAAGUUACAAAAUAUUAUGUUAGUUGAAUGUGCUGGAAAGCACGACCCUAGAGGGUAAUGGUCCCGUAAACGAAAAUAUAAUAUCUUCUUUGUUUCUGUUCUUGAGUACCUCGAGACAUGAAUAGCUCGGGGGAAUCUGCCGGUACUAACCGGUAAGGCUAAAUACAUUUUGAGAUCGAUAGUGAACUAGUACCGUGAGGGAAAGGUGAAAAGAAGUCCGAUUAGGACAGUGAAAUAGAUCUGAAACCAUAUGCUUACAAGGAGUCGGAGCGGGGGCAUCACAUUGCAUGUGAUGCUAGUCAAAAGUUUAUAAAGUCAUAAAGUCCAUAAAGUAGAAUUCUGAAUUCACUUUACAAACUUUAUAGACUUUCAACUUUAUGGACUAUGCAUCGUGUUCAGCGCGAUGCCUCCGUCACGGCGUGCCUAUUGAAGAAUGAGCCAACGAGUUUUCGAUGUUUGCUUCGUUAAGCCCGACAGGGCGAAGCGGUAGCGAAAGCGAGUCUGAAUAGGGCGAA
rnacentral:rRNA from 1 species